AGUCUAUGAUGAGGAUUGUGGAUGCUUUCUUGUUUCUGAGAUUUUUAUGAUUAUGCAAACACUACUGCCUUCCUUCUGAGACU